GCCAGGUGAGGUGGCAUGUGCCUGUAGUCCCAACUACUCGGGAAGCUGAGGCUGGAGGAUCUCUUGAGCCCAGGAGUUCUGGGCUGUAGUGCGCUAUGCCGAUCGGGUGUCCUCAGUAAGUUCGGCAUCAAUAUGGUGACCUCCCGGGAGCGGGGGACCACCAGGUUGCCUAAGGAGGGGUGAACCGGCCCAGGUCGGAAACGGAGCAGGUCAAAACUCCCGUGCUGAUCAGUAGUGGGAUCGCGCCUGUGAAUAGCCACUGCACUCCAGUCUGGGCAACAUAGCAAGACCCCGUCUCU
rnacentral:SRP_RNA from 1 species